rnacentral:rRNA from 1 species
UACAGAGGUCUCAAGCGUUGUUCGGAAUUACUGGGCGUAAAGGGUGCGCAGGCCGCGCGGGCAGUCAAAUGUGUAAUUCAGGGGCUCAACCCCUGGACUGCGCUUGAUACUUCCGCGCUUGAACCUUGGAGAGGAGUCUGGAAUUCUCGGUGUAGCAGUGAAAUGCGUGGAUAUCGAGAAGAACACUAAGGGCGAAGGCAAGACUCUAGACAAGUGUUGACGCUCAUGCACGAAGGCUAGGGUAGCGAACGGG